rnacentral:rRNA from 1 species
GACGAACGCUGGCGGCGUGCCUAAUACAUGCAAGUAGAACGCUGAAGAGAGGAGCUUGCUCUUCUUGGAUGAGUUGCGAACGGGUGAGUAACGCGUAGGUAACCUGCCUUGUAGCGGGGGAUAACUAUUGGAAACGAUAGCUAAUACCGCAUAACAAUGGAUGACACAUGUCAUUUAUUUGAAAGGGGCAAUUGCUCCACUACAAGAUGGACCUGCGUUGUAUUAGCUAGUAGGUGAGGUAAUGGCUCACCUAGGCGACGAUACAUAGCCGACCUGAGGGGGUGAUCGGCCACACUGGGACUGAGACACGGCCCAGACUCCUACGGGAGGCAGCAGUAGGGAAUCUUCGGCAAUGGGGGCAACCCUGACCGAGCAACGCCGCGUGAGUGAAGAAGGUUUUCGGAUCGUAAAGCUCUGUUGUAAGUCAAGAUCGGGUGUGAGAGUGGAAAGUUCACACUGUGACGGUAGCUUACCAGAAAGGGACGGCUAACUACGUG